rnacentral:rRNA from 1 species
GUGAGGAAUAUUGCGCAAUGGAGGCAACUCUGACGCAGCCAUGCCGCGUGCAGGAAGAAGGCGCUACGCGUUGUAACCUGCUUUUAACCGGGAAGAAACCCCAGGACGUGUCCUGGGUUGACGGUACCGGAGCAAUAAGCACCGGCUAACUUCGUGCCAGCAGCCGCGGUAAUACGAAGGGUGCAAGUGUUAACCGGAUUCAUUGGGUUUAAAGGGUGCGUAGGCGGAGCGUUAAGUCAGUGGUGAAAUCCUGCAGCUUAACUGUAGACUUGCAAGUGAUACUGGCGCGCUUGAGUGCAGUUGAAGUGGGCGGAAUGUGCCGUGUAGCGGUGAAAUGCUUAGAUAUGGCACAGAACACCAAUUGCGAAGGCAGCUCACUAAGGCGAUACUGACGCUGAGGCACGAAAGCGUGGGGAUCGAACAGGAUUAGAAACCCGUGUAGUCC